rnacentral:rRNA from 1 species
ACGAACGCUGGCGGCGUGCCUAAUACAUGCAAGUAGAACGCUGAAGGAGGAGCUUGCUCUUCUGGAUGAGUUGCGAACGGGUGAGUAACGCGUAGGUAACCUGCCUGGUAGCGGGGGAUAACUAUUGGAAACGAUAGCUAAUACCGCAUAACAGUAGAUGUUGCAUGACAUUUGCUUAAAAGGUGCAAUUGCACCACUACCAGAUGGACCUGCGUUGUAUUAGCUAGUUGGUGGGGUAACGGCUCACCAAGGCGACGAUACAUAGCCGACCUGAGAGGGUGAUCGGCCACACUGGGACUGAGACACGGCCCAGACUCCUACGGGAGGCAGCAGUAGGGAAUCUUCGGCAAUAGACGGAAGUCUGACCGAGCAACGCCGCGUGAGUGAAGAAGGUUUUCGGAUCGUAAAGCUCUGUUGUAAGAGAAGAACGAGUGUGAGAGUGGAAAGUUCACACUGUGACGGUAUCUUACCAGAAAGGGACGGCUAACUACGUG